CCUCUCUCAGGGUCACACCUGGAGAGUUUCCAGUACUCUACCUAUUUUGACUAUGGGAGGGAGAGUCAACCAGAGGCAUAUCCAUUCCAUUCCUAGCUUGAGCAGUGGCUAGCAAGUGGAAGGCAAUCUGCUACAAAU
rfam:Ornithorhynchus anatinus chromosome 7, whole genome shotgun sequence.